GGGGACUGAGUGUAGCGGUAACACGCGCCACCGACAGAAGCCACCAGUAUGGUUCAGGCCUGGCCCGCCUGAGCACGAGGUGAGAAUUAACGUGUGGGGCGAGCCGGAGGUUCGAUUCCUCCAGUCUCCA